rnacentral:lncRNA from 1 species
AAAUCCAAUCAAAAAGUGGUUACUUCCAUAACAGCUGCGGCUCUGUGGCACCACUACAUCCUGCAGAUAGGUCACUGUUGUAAGUCGAAAGGUUUGUAGGUGGUAGUUUUAGUUAGGUUUUUACUGCUGUGAACAGACACCAUGACCAAAGCAAGUCUUAUAAGGACAACAUUUAAUUGGGGCUGGCUUACAGGUUCAGAGGUUCAGUUCAUUAUCAUCAAGGCAGGAACAUGGCAGCUUCCAGGUAGGCAUGGCGCUGGAGGAGCUGAGCUUUCUACAUCUUCAUCUGAAGGCUGCUAGCAGAAUACUGGCUUCCUGGCAGCUAAGAUGAGGGUCUUAAAGCCCACACACACAUUAACUCACCUAUUCCAACAGGGCCAGAUCUUCUAGUAGUACUCCUCCCCGAGUCAAUCAUAGAUAAACCAUAACCGGUGUCUGAGUCAAAGUGCUGAUUAUUUUUCUUCUCUAGUAGCAUACUAAGAGCUUCUCACACGAUGACCACUAGUCCAGUCAGUGGGAGUGCAGCUUCUAGUUGGAUGCCAGAUCAAUAUCUUCAUGUUUGAUGACAUAAGUAAGUUUGUGUCUUCAGCAGUAGGGCCUUACCACCCACCAGUAACCAAGAGCCUUGCUAAUUAAUAGUCAGUGAUGUUUGAAGGGGUCAAACAUCCCUUUGAUCCCUUUGGCUAAGAGCUCAACAAGGCACAGCACAUUCCUGACACUGGAGGUUUUACUUGAUGGUGUAAGAUGUCUAGAUAUGACAUUGCCUCCACAGUAUAUGGUGAUCCUGUUUAACUUCAUGUACAUAUAUAUUUUAGGAGGCUUCUGUAGUAGCAGGUUUCCAUAUGGCUGUUCAGAAGGCUUUUAGUACUACUUGUCCCCAUAUUCCUUCCUUUACCCUGCCUUCCCCACCUCCUCACCUAAUCUUCCUAUUUGAGUUUCUCCUUUGUCUCUAUAACACUGUACUAUUUCCCCUUUCCAGGAAGAGCUUCUCCUCUCCCAUGCUCCCCGUAUUAGCUACCUAACCCCUGUUGUUAUUCAUAUUGAAACAUCUAUCUAAAGCUUAAAAGCUGACAUCCACAUAUAAGAGAAAAUGAGCACCCUCAUACUCUCUUUUGCUAUAAAUUCCAAUUAUUUAUUUUCAUAAUCAGAUAUGUAGUAAAGGCAAUUGGUCUGUUGUUAACCUUACUACCAUACACCAAAAAUAAGUGUGUGUGUAUAUGUGUAUACUCAUUGAUAUAAAUUGACUUAAUUGAAUAAUUAAUUUUAAUGAAUGUUGUUCAGUCAUAUAUGUGUGUGUUAUGUAUAUGAGGACAGCAGUCCUGACCCACAAUCCAUGCGUCUGUGGGGCAGACCUAUAUGCAAUGAUUGUAUGGUAACAAAAGCUUAAGAAGUACCCUCGUCUUCUUAAAAAGAACCAUAAUGUAAGUGACCAAUCUUGAUGUUUAGGAUAAAUCCAUAAAUAAUCACCGUGCUUAUAACUGCUGUAUGGGAUUAGCUUGCCGAAAACACAUCAAAGAAACUAGAUUUGUUAUUACUUUACAGUUAUUUUAAUUAAGUGUUGAUGAGGAUAGACUGUCUAGGAUGCAUUGAAGAUAAACUACAUCCUUACGCUGAUCAGCAGAAUAUGCCAGCACAAGUAUGUCAUUUGUGAGCUAAAUUAGUUUAGUACUAGUUGGAAUUAAAAUGUGUUAAUCAAGAGUGUCUUAUUCACUGGAGUGUCAGUGGUGUCUGAUGGAGAUGUUCAUGAAAAACAGAAAGGAAACUAAACAAAUAAGACGAGGAAAUUGGAAGAGAUCUUUAGAUUUAUUUAUAUAUAACUUACGCAUCAUUACUUUUCUAUAGAAAACUCAAGCAUUACAUGGAAUUAUAAAAGUAUGCAAACAUCUGCAUAUAAAGUAUGACUAAGAUAAACUGUCACGCUUCACUAAAGAUUUUCAAAGAAAUAUUCCCUAGUAAUAUUUAUUAUUGGUAGCAUAUAAUUUUAAAAGAGUUAAUAUAUUUAAGUUUAAUUUUUAAAACUUACUUAUAAGUAAAAUAUAGAAUAGAACUCUACAUAGAAAGGAUCAUAUACAGAGAAUUUAAUUUGUAAAAUAGAUAGAAAAAUAGUUUUGCUUUUAAAAUAAUAUUGUCCUUUGGUUAAACCUUGUAGUGAAUAUAUUUUGGAUUCAUUGCUAAAAAUUUAACUAUAUCCUGACAUAUUCUUCAUUUUCUAAAAGUAUGUUUUAUAGAUUCUAGACUAAUCCUAUGUCAUAGAAUUAUGCUGGACUCUAAUAUAUUACAUUGACCAAACUAGAGAAAAGAUUAAAACUAGAUUAGGCAGUAAUGCCUCAGGGCUAAGACAUAUAGACACUUAAUCGUAUCAUGAUUAGUAAAACUAUUGAAAACAAUUCAUAUUUUUCCAUAGCAUUUUUCAUUAGCAUCUCAUUCUUUAUCUAAAUGCUGUGGUAUAUAAACUACAUUUUAAAAGUUAACCCCUUUCUUAUCUAUCUUUUAUGCCAAAGACAUUAUAUUUUAAGAAGACAGAAUAUUUAGUAUCAGUACUGAAAUGUUGAGUCUUAGUGGUCCACUCUUUACAGUAUUAGUAUGUACUACUUAUUUUUAACAAGAGACGUUUAUACCAAGCAGCCAAGCUCUGUUCCAUCUCCAGUUAACUGCUCAGCUACCUCAGCUACCAACUCAACCACGUAUUCCAUUUGCUGCUUUCCUCCUGUACCUCCUGCCCAGGAGGCACUGCCUGCCCGCCUUUCUUUCCCAGAGAAUGUCAUAAGUUACCAUAUUUUAAUGAGCAGUUUUAUUAUGAUGAUAACAACACUCUUCUAAUCAAACCAUGUCCAUUUACUGUCAGCGUUAAUCUUAUAAACAAAGUCAAACAUGUCCAGGCUACAUGUAUUAUAAAAACUCUACUCAGAGUGUCUAAGGGAAAAGAGGAAGAGCUUGUUAAAUUGGGUUUGGAUUUGGGUUUUGGUUUUGGUUUUGGUUUUGGUUUUGAUGUUUUCCUUGCAUUUCUUUUAGUCUGGUGAAUCAAGAUUGUAUGCUAAUUUGUCUUUAUAUGUAAAUUAUCUUGCUUAUUGGAGAUACUCCCAGCCUUUUCAGCUUUUCUGUUUAAGUGGUAGCUGGGGGAAAGAAGUGAAUGUUCACAGAGAUCCUGGGGCCAUGAGGAGAUGCUGAGUCAAGCAGUUUGUUUGUGGCUGGUUGGCCCUAGGAAUGAUAGAUGCAUCCAUCUAUUCUACACUCCUAAGAAAGGUAUAGGGGACUAUUGGGAUAACAUUUGAAAUGUAAAUGAAGAAAAUAUCUAAUAAAAAAUU